rnacentral:pre_miRNA from 1 species
CUGGUGAUUGCCACUAGCGAGGUAUAGAGUUCCUACGUAAUAUACAACUGUAGGAACUUCAUACCGUGCUCUUGGGUUUGCCAA